rnacentral:rRNA from 1 species
AUUGAACGCUGGCGGCAUGCCUUACACAUGCAAGUCGAACGGCAGCACGGGAGCAAUCCUGGUGGCGAGUGGCGAACGGGUGAGUAAUAUAUCGGAACGUGCCCAGUCGUGGGGAUAACGUAGCGAAAGCUACGCUAAUACCGCAUACUAUCUAUGGAUGAAAGCGGGGGAUCGCAAGACCUCGCGCGAUUGGAGCGGCCGAUAUCAGAUUAGGUAGUUGGUGAGGUAAAGGCUCACCAAGCCGACGAUCUGUAGCUGGUCUGAGAGGACGACCAGCCACACUGGGACUGAGACACGGCCCAGACUCCUACGGGAGGCAGCAGUGGGGAAUUUUGGACAAUGGGCGCAAGCCUGAUCCAGCAAUGCCGCGUGCAGGAUGAAGGCCUCGGGUUGUAACUGCUUUGUUACGGAACGAAACGGUGAGCGUCUAAUACAGUUGCUAAUGACGGUACCGUG